rnacentral:tRNA from 1 species
UUGGUAGAGCAGUUGACUUUUAAUCAAUUGGUCGCAGGUUCGAAUCCUGCACGACUUU